rnacentral:lncRNA from 1 species
CAGAAGUACACUGUGCUACAUUUGGCAUUGCUACACGCAUAAACAAGAGUUGUUCGAAGAUGGCUGUGGUAACAUGACAUGCUAUUCGAAUGCUAAAAAGCAAACUCUGUGCUGGACACUGAAGCUUGGGAUUUGCAUCCUUAUCCGCAUAAGGGAGUACCUGCAUGGGCAGGGUGGCUGCAAAUUCUACUUGAGUAUAUACAGGCAUAAGAACUUCAAAAGUACAGUGUCAAGAAGAAUUUUCCAAAUGAUACAUUGCAAAUGGGUGAAGAGAAUGUCUCCUGGAAACUCUAUGGGGA